CAUGAGCAGGGACCGAAUCUAAGCCCCUUUGUCUGCGUUGUUCAAUCCAGCAUGUUAAGCAACCCUCAUUGCGCACUUGAUUGAAAGGUCUUGUACAUCAAGGAAGCUCUGCCACAAUUCGUUAGUUAUCUAGCUUCUGGUUUCGUAGCUUCUAUGUAGGCCAAUAGUACUUUAAGCACUUUAAUUAUUACUUGCACUCUUCUCAUAUCUGCUAUAAUCAUGCAAAUCACAAUGCAUAUUUUUUGUAUAGAUAAUUCUGCAAAUUGGAAUUUCUUUGA